GACGAACGCUGGCGGCGUGCUUAACACAUGCAAGUCGAACGGAAAGGCCCUGCUUUUGUGGGGUGCUCGAGUGGCGAACGGGUGAGUAACACGUGAGUAACCUGCCCUUGACUUUGGGAUAACUUCAGGAAACUGGGGCUAAUACCGGAUAGGAGCUCCUGCUGCAUGGUGGGGGUUGGAAAGUUUCGGCGGUUGGGGAUGGACUCGCGGCUUAUCAGCUUGUUGGUGGGGUAGUGGCUUACCAAGGCUUUGACGGGUAGCCGGCCUGAGAGGGUGACCGGCCACAGUGGGACUGAGAUGCGGACCAGACUCCUACGGGAGGCAGCAGUGGGGAAUAUUGCACAAUGGGCGGAAGCCUGAUGCAGCAACGCCGCGUGCGGGAUGACGGCCUUCGGGUUGUAAACCGCUUUCGCCUGUGACGAAGCGUGAGUGACGGUAAUGGGUAAAGAAGCACCGGCUAACUACGUG
rnacentral:rRNA from 1 species